UACGGGGGGGAGCAAGCGUUGUUCGGAUUUACUGGGCGUAAAGGGCGCGUAGGCGGCGCAACAAGUCACUUGUGAAAUCUCCGGGCUUAACCCGGAGCGGUCAAGUGAUACUGUCGUGCUAGAGUGCGGAAGGGGCUACUGGAAUUCUCGGUGUAGCGGUGAAAAUGCGUAGAUAUCGAGAGGAACACCUGCGGGCGAAGGCGGGUAGCUGGGCCACACU
rnacentral:rRNA from 1 species